GACGGAGGAUGCAAGUGUUAUCCGGAAUCACUGGGCGUAAAGCGUCUGUAGGUGGUUUAAUAAGUCAACUGUUAAAUCUUGAGGCUCAACCUCAAAAUCGCAGUCGAAACUAUUAGGCUAGAGUAUAGUGGGGGUAAAGGGAAUUUCCAGUGGAGCGGUGAAAUGCGUAGAGAUUGGAAAGAACACCGAUGGCGAAGGCACUUUACUGGGCUAUUACUAACACUCAGAGACGAAAGCUAGGGUAGCAAAUGGG
rnacentral:rRNA from 1 species